GGGGAAUAUUGCACAAUGGGCGCAAGCCUGAUGCAGCGACGCCGCGUGCGGGAUGACGGCCUUCGGGUUGUAAACCGCUUUUGACUGGGAGCAAGCCCUUCGGGGUGAGUGUACCUUUCGAAUAAGCACCGGCUAACUACGUGCCAGCAGCCGCGGUAAUACGUAGGGUGCAAGCGUUAUCCGGAAUUAUUGGGCGUAAAGGGCUCGUAGGCGGUUCGUCGCGUCCGGUGUGAAAGUCCAUCGCUUAACGGUGGAUCCGCGCCGGGUACGGGCGGGCUUGAGUGCGGUAGGGGAGACUGGAAUUCCCGGUGUAACGGUGGAAUGUGUAGAUAUCGGGAAGAACACCAAUGGCGAAGGCAGGUCUCUGGGCCGUCACUGACGCUGAGGAGCGAAAGCGUGGGGAGCGAACAGGAUUAGAUACCCUGGUAGUCCACGCCGUAAACGGUGGAUGCUGGAUGUGGGGACCAUUCCACGGUCUCCGUGUCGGAGCCAACGCGUUAAGCAUCCCGCCUGGGGAGUACGGCCGCAAGGCUAAAACUCAAAGAAAUUGACGGGGGCCCGCACAAGCGGCGGAGCAUGCGGAUUAAUUCGAUGCAACGCGAAGAACCUUACCUGGGCUUGACAUGUUCCCGACAGCCCCAGAGAUGGGGCCUCCCUUCGGGGCGGGUUCACAGGUGGUGCAUGGUCGUCGUCAGCUCGUGUCGUGAGAUGUUGGGUUAAGUCCCGCAACGAGCGCAACCCUCGCCCUGUGUUGCCAGCACGUCGUGGUGGGAACUCACGGGGGACCGCCGGGGUCAACUCGGAGGAAGGUGGGGAUGACGUCAGAUCAUCAUGCCCCUUACGUCCAGGGCUUCACGCAUGCUACAAUGGCCGGUACAACGGGAUGCGACCUCGUGAGGGGGAGCGGAUCCCUUAAAACCGGUCUCAGUUCGGAUUGUAGUCUGCAACUCGACUACAUGAAGCUGGAAUCGCUAGUAAUCGCAGAUCAGAAUGCUGCGGUGAAUACGUUCCCG
rnacentral:rRNA from 1 species